GAAACACCUAGGCAAUUCUCAUUGGGAAGCAUUUCUUUAGGACUGGUAGAUUUUGGGAGGGAGUUACUGCUUUGAUCUAUUCCACUGUCUGUGUAUUAUGAGAUCUGAACAUGUAGACUUCUUUUGUUAGUAUGUUGCCUGAUGUGGACAGAGCAGACUGGGACAGUGCACAACAUGUAUAGGCUGGGUUGGGCCUGAGGGUUGAUAUGGCUAAGGUGGGAUGAUGUCAGGUGGGCACAGGGGACUGGACUGGCACACAGGAUGUCUAUCCUGGUCCCAGCCUGGAACUUUUCGGGCAGAUCUGUGGGGUUGGGGCCUAUUCUUGGAGGGGGAGAAUCAGGUUGACUUAAAUGCCUAGACCUUGGCUUAAGAUGCAGAGGCUCUGGUUGGGCUGAGUGGUUGGAUGUAGCAUGAAAAGGCCGGUAGGCUGUGGAAGGUGCAAGCAGAGCUGUCCAGCCCAGGCUGGGGCACUGGAUGUGGAACUAAGAACAGCCACUCGAACUAUGAUUUUUUAGAGGCAAGGCCUGCUGUUUACCCUGGAACAGGACUGAGGAAUUCACGUAGAAUUGGAGGCUCACGUAUGGAGGGUGAAGAGGAAACUGCCAGCAGAAGGGAGGUUAAAGACGCAGAAUGAACAAAGACCGUGAUGUGCUACUGUGACAUGUGCUUUGAUCCCCAUGGAUGCUUACAGACUGGAGCCAAGGAGUGAAGAUAAACAUUUCCUGCCGGGUGGCUUGAUGAUCCAAAGAUACUAGAAAAUGAAGAAGUGAAGGGGAUAGUUUGAGAGAGUGGUGAAGUUACAGAGAUAAUAAGGGAAGGUGGUUGGUGUGGGAGAGGGCAGAGGCUGCUAGAUUCUUCCCUUGAAGUGGCUCUGGGCUUGGGAGGUGAAGUGUGUCUGUCAGGUGGUAAUGUUAGGGAAGCAUUCAGGGAGUGGGGAGUAAGCAGGGCCUGAGGUUAGCUCUGUGAGCAGGAGAGGCAGUCACUGUGGUAAGACUGACACUGUGGAGAGGCUGUCACCAUGGUUAGGUAGUUACCAUGAUGAGGCUGUCACCAUGGAGAGGUGGUCAUCAUUCAAGGCCAUCAGUGUGGUUGUUGGGAGCAUGGCAUGAAGGUCCUUGCACCCACAGAUCUCCAGAGAAACCAGGACUGUUAGGCACACAUUUGUCUUUCCAAUAGGAAAGAUGAAAAACCUGUUCUUCCAUUCAGAAAGCUGAGAAUUGGAAGUCAUUAACAGCCUGGUCAUCUGCUAUCUGUUGGGCCAGGCCGUAUCAGGCUCCUACAACCAGGACCAGAGGUGGCUGGUAAUCUAAAUGACCCUUAGAGCCAGAGGCUCCCCCAAGUUCCCCUAACCAGCAUGUUCUAUUAUCUCUAUUGCUGUGACAAAAACACCAUGACUAUAAAGUUGGGGAGGGAAAGGUUAAUUCAACUUACACUUCCACACCAUAGUCCAUCAUUGGAGGAAGUCAGGACAGGAACCCAAGCAGGGCUGAACCUGGAGGCAGGAGCUGAUGCAGAGGCCACGGAGGGAUUCUGCUAACUGACUUGCUUACCUUGGCUUGCUCAGCUUGCUUUCUUGUAGAACCCAUGACCAUCAGCCCAGGGAUCAGACCACCACCAUGGGCUGGGUUCUCCCCUAUUGAUCACUAAUUGAGAAAAUGCCUUUACUCAACUGAGGCUUCUUCCUCUCUCAUGACCAAUUUGUGUCCAGAUGACACAGCUAGUACACAGGACCCAAGGUGACCAAUGGCCCGAAUGACCUCUAUGCUAUCUGUAUGACUGAGACCAGGCCAGACCCUUAGGGCCUUAAGCUAGAGCAGGAAGUGCAUAUCUAGAGCCCAUCUUCUGGGAAGAAAUGACAUGCACCCUGAGCUGAGGUUCACUGUAAUUACACUGCUGUGCACCAGGGACUGUAUUAAGCUAGGAAACCUUUUUUCUUUAAGAUUGUACUGGGCUUAAGUACACUGAGAACAAUCUGCCUGUUAUUAGACUCUGAGGGCUGAUCCAGGUUGGCCGAAACAGUCUGCACUGGGUUUUCAUUAUCUUUUUUUUCCAUUCCCUUCCCUGCAUGACUCCUGCAGGAACCCUCUCAUGUGGUGAGGUGGUCGCCAUUGCAGGGCAGGCACUGUGGCAGAAGGUGGAGGCCUGGGCAAGGAGCAGGUGACUUCCAUCUUCUUGUCAACUCAGAGUUCAUGAUGGCUACUGGAGCUCCAGUCAUUCCAUUGGAGCUCUCAGCUUGGACAGAAGAACGGCAGAGGAGCAGGAACGGCUCCUGGCACCUGUCGGCCAGUCUUCCUCAGUCUGUUCUCCACUUACAGCUUCUAGGUCUCCUUGGCCACUAGCCUCUGUAGAAAGGAGGGUGCCCGAGACACCUUUCCAGAUUCUUACUCUCUGUAUCAGCAACAGGAAGUUCACCCGCUCAGUACCUGACUCACGUAUGUUCACUUAUUCACGAACCAUAUCAACGUGAACAUGUCAAACAUACGUAAAAGCGGAGUGCCUGGACUGAACACAGAGCUUAAUGCUCUAAGGCAAGACAGCCAGAGUGGCCAGGUAAGAGGGAGCAACUUCUAUCUCUACUUGCUAUUCUGCAAGGUUCUCUGAUGCAGGAUGGGAAGUCGCUGUCCCUGCUUCUCCAUCGCUUACCACACUCAGAGUGGAAGUGGUCCCAGGUGGGAUUUGGAGACCACAGACUGCAAGCUGGAGUCCUAGAGACUGUCCCACUGCUUGUGGCAGGGGCAGACUGGCGCCCUCCACACCUGUGUGCAGGGUGGUGGCCAACUAUGAGGUCCUCCUGACUGGUCUCUGCAGGCCUUGCAGACUGGCUGGCUGGGACAGCUCAGGGCAGGAAACCAUCAAACAAUGGAUGGCUACAGCCUGGAGCUCGGGGCACACCCACUGAGACUUCCCCUGAAUGUUCUGGAAUGCUCGCUGUGGCUGACCUUGGCACUGAUUUAUGAAGCACCUUAAAAAUAGUUUUUACCUAGAGGUAACACGUGGCCUGAUUCUUGAGGGCACAAUGACCAUUGUCCUGGUCGAUGACUUCAGCUACAGUUGGGAUCAGUAUUAUAUUCAUCCAGAACUCUUAACAAGGCCCAGCUUCUGAGUACAGUUUCCCCCAGAGCUCAGGAAAACUGUCUUCUCUUUCCUUAAGCAGUGAUGGAUGAAAUCAUCCCCCCUGCUAAAUCCCUUCCGGAGCCUGUGUCUGGGCUUCCGUUGUGGCCAUACCCAGGUUUCUGAGGUUGAUGUCACUCAGCUGGCCAGCUGGGGAUGGCUGCCUGUCUGCUCCUGCAGUCUGUCUUAAGUGGCCUUUGUCCCCAGGUGACAAACACUUUCCUCAUUAGCCUACGGAAGGUGCCUCUGUUUCACCAGCCAGAACCCAUGUCGCCCUCCCCUUUGCAGGCCCCUUUGAGGGCCAGGCACCCUCAGCUUCCUCACUAUCACCAGGUGAUUGGCUGCAGUCCCUCAGGUGGGCAGGUUUCCUCCCACCUGCCAGAAGGGCCCAGUGAGGGCCUGCCACAUCCUCCUGGCUGCUGUUGUGUUUUCUCCUUUUCCUUCCUUGCUCUCUUCUUCCUCUUCCUACUCUCUUUUCCUCCUCCUCCUCCUCCCCCUCCUCCCCCUCCUCCCCUUCCUCCUCUUCUUCUUCCUCCUCACCCUCUUCUUCCUCCUCCACCUCCUCCUUUUUUUCAUCCUUUCCCCCUCCAUUUCCUCCUCCUCUUCUAAGAAUGUACCUAGAAUUUACAGCCAAAUUUGAGAACAUGAAGUCAUGAAUUCUAACUGAUGUGUACCAUGUCAUGUCUGUCUCCCAGAGUGAGUAUCACACCUGUGAGGGCUGCAGCACAGAGGGGAAGGACCUGGGCUUUCUAGGGAAGCAGAUGUGGGUUCCACACAUUUCUCAGGCAGGGAAAAGUACCCCAGAGUUUUGCGAUGGGUGUCAGGUGAAAUGCUGUUUAUGAAGUGUCGCGAUGGGUGUCAGGUGAAAUGCUGUUUAUGAAGUGUCGUGGAGCACACCGGCCACAAGGCAUACUGUGUUUUUGCAGAAGGCCAUCAAAGAUGGCGCAGUUGUCCGGGGUGCUGAUUGUGCUGGGAAACUGUCCUCUCCUCCAGGAGUCCUUAGUUUAUGCUGAAGUCAAUAUUGUGGUAGUGGAGCUGGAGCAUGAGUUAGGCUAAGGCCCAGUCUGUUGUGUGGCUCCCACUCUGCCCAGUGCCCUGCGUAACUGAUGAGGCAGUCACAUAAGAAGAGGGGAGAAAGUCCCUUGUGGAACUUGAGACUAGCAGAUGGAGUUCCAUGAAUAAGGGCACGGCUGCUCUUUUCAACCAGGAUGCCAACAGCCAUUGCAUUUUAUUAGAGUCUUUAUAGCAGGACUUCCCUAGCACAUACUUGCUCAUGGGCUUCUCACCACAGUCUUAGGGACUAGUGAUGGAUGGGUUGCCUUCCGUUUUGAAAAUCUCAAGGAAGUGAUGUUCAGAGCAGUUAUUUAAAACUUUAAAAAUUUAUUCUUUGGAAAUUUCAUACAUGUAUGUGAAUGAAGUAUUUUGAUCUUAUCAAAUUUCUAUGACCUUCUACCAACUCCCUCUGGGUUCCACUAACCUACCUCACUCAGGACUUCGCUUUAAAAAAAUUAUUGUAAUUAAUUAAUAACCCCAUCGAGCUCAGUGACUGCUGACCGUAUGUGACUGGGGUGAAUGGGUGUGGGGUGGAGUUCUCUAACGGGGCAUGGGCAAUCUACCAGCAGCCACAACCCUUAGAAAAGGUGAAUUUCCCAUCCUCACCAACGUCAACCACCAACCGUUCUUCAGCUCCAGAGCCCCACCCCCAGCCAUGCUGGGAUGCUGAUCUCAGCCUCAGGCCAGUCUUCCACAGACGGGCACGGCUAUCCCAGCCUCCAGCUCCAUGUGUGAGUGUGAGUGCACACUCCAGCUGGCAUUCACACUCACCAGGUCUCAGCAACUUGACAAGAUUCUUGUGUACUAACUAGGACCUUUGUUAGAGUUUCUAUUUCUGUGAUCGAGACCAUGACCAAAAGCAACUUGGGGAGGAAAGGGUUUAUUUUACACUUCCAGGUAAGCAUAAUAGUCCAAAUUGGGACGAUGGGGCAGGAAUCCCUGGUGUAGUGCCACUUACUGGCUUGCUCAGCCUGCUUUCUUAUAGCAUCUAGGACUAGAUGAAAGUCCUGGAGUGCCCCUGAAAACACAGACACACACAAACAGACACACACACAGACACACAUAGAUGCGCACGCACACACACACACACACACACACACACACACACACACACACUGUAUUAGUGGCCAGGGGUGGCACCACCCACAGUGGACUGGGCCCUCCUGCAUUAACCACUACUUAAGAAGUACACCACAGGCUUGUCCACAGCUCAGUCAGGUGGGGUCUUUUCUCAACUGAGGGACCCUCUUCCUAAAUGACUCUGAAAACCAUCCAGCACACUGCUAAAAAGAGAAUCUUUCUGAGUCAGCCUGAACAGUAGCACAAAUCUGAGUGUAAACACAAGGGUUAAGGAGCUGGUUCAACAGCAUGACCAAUGCAGCAGCAGAACAUCAGUGAGUUCCCCUUACGGCCUGUGAUCUCCCCAGUUUUAGGAUUUUGACUGGGUUCACAGGACCAGGCAUCAAAUUUACCUCCUGUGCAACAGGCCUCAGAUCCAAUCCGAAAAUAGUUGCUUGCCCACAUACUCACCAUGCCACUCUUUCGUGAGUGGCCACAGCUUGUAGAAUACAGGGCCCUACAUGCUGCUAAGUAAGACCAUCGACGUCUGCCUUAACAAGCCGCUCGCAUAUCUUCUUCCAGCACCAUGAAACGCAGGGAGAAUUUUCUAUCAGCUUGAGAUUGAUUUCUCCAUGUCUUGUAGUAAAAGUGGAAAAGGUUUUUUAGCAGUAGGUCUUACCAUUUAGUUAUGGUGAGCAAUCAAGAGCAAUAAACUGUGUCUUUUGGGUGCUUUGGAACUUCUCUAACUAAUAUCUCAUACAUAUUAACUAUCUUUAACUAUAUUAACUUUCAUUAAUUAACCCAUGUCUACUGGGAGUAGCAUUGUCCUCCUAUGCAGAGUGCCCCUGAAAACACAGACAGACACACACAGACACACAUAGAUGGGCACACACACACACACACACACACACACACACACACACACACACACUGUAUUAGUCAAGGUUUUACUGCUGUGAACAGACAUAGUGACCAAGGCAACUCUUUUUUUUUAAUCUUUAUUAACUUGAGUAUUUCUUAUUUACAUUUCGAUUGUUAUUCCCUUUCCCGGUUUCCAGGCCAACAUCCCCCUAACCCCUCCCCCUCCCCUUCUAUAUGGGCUUCCCCUCCCCAUCCUCCCCCCAUUACCACUCUCCCCCCAACAAUCCUGUUCACUGGGGGUUCAGUCUUGGCAGGACCCAGGGCUUCCCCUUCCACUGAUGCUCUUACUAGGAUAUUCAUUGCUACCUAUGAGGUCAGAGUCCAGGGUCAGUCCAUGUAUAGUCUUUAGGUAGUGGCUUAGUCCCUGGAAGCUCUGGUUGGUUGGCAUUGUUGUUCAUAUGGGGUCUCGAGGCCCUUCAAGCUCUUCCAGUCCUUUCUCUGAUUCCAAGGCAACUCUUACAAAGACAACAUUUAAUUGGGGCUGGCUUAGAGGUUCAGAGGUUCAGUCCAUUAUCAUCAAUGUGGGAACAUGGCAGUGUCCAGGCAGACAUGGUGCAGGAGGAGCUGGGAGUUCUACAUCUUCAUGUGAAGGCUGCUAGGAGAAGACCGACUUCCAGGCAUUUAGGAUGAGGGUCUUAAAGCCCAUACCUGCAGUGACACACAACAAGGUCACACAUCCUAAUAGUGCCACUCCCUGGGUCAAGCAAAUACAAACUCUUAUAUUCCACUCCCUGGCCCACAUAGGCUUUUCAGACACAUUAGCCUAUGUGGGCCAUACCCAAACACAAAGCAAAAUACAAUCAGUCCAAGUCCCUAUAGUCUAUAGCAGCCUCAAUAAUGUUAUUUCUAAUUGGAUAGUUUAUGUAUUUACAUCUAAAAUGUUAUCUCCUUUCCCAGUCCCCCCCCAAUCCCUCCACCCUGCUUCUAUGAGGAUGUUCCCCCUCCCACCCACCCACUCCCACCUCAACACUCUGGGAUUCCCCUACACUGGGGAAAUGAGCCUUCACAGGACCAAGGGCUUCUCCUCCUAUUGAUGCCAGACAAUGCCAUCCUCUGCUACAUAUGUGGCUGGAGCCAUGGGUUCCCCCAUGUGCACUCUUAGGUUGGAGGUUUAAUCCCUGGGUGCUCUGGUGGGUCUGGUUGAUUGAUAUUGUUGUUCUUCCUAUGGAGUUGCAAACCCCUUUAGCUCCUUCACUCCUUUCUCUAAGUCCUCCAAUAGGGGCCCCUAUACUCAGUCUAAUGAUUGGCUGCAAGCAUCUUAGUCGGUAUCAGUAAGGUCUGGCAGAGCCUCUCAGGAGACAUCUGUAUCAGGCUCCUGUCGGCAAGCACUUCUUGGCAUCAGCAAUAGUGACUGGUUUAGUGGCCACAUGUGGAAUGGAUCCCCAGGCAGUCUCUGGAUGGCCUUUUCUUCAGUCUCUGCUCCACUCUUUGUCUCUUUAUUUCCUUCCAUGAGUAUUUUGUUCCCCCUUCUUUUUUUUUUAAAUUUUAUUAGACAUAUUUUCUUCACUUUUGUUCCCCCUUCUAAGAAGGACUGAGGCAUCCACAUUUUAGUCAUCCUUCUUCUUGAGCUUCAUGUGGUUUGUGGAUUGUAUUGGGUAAUUUGAGCUUUUGGGCUAAUAUCCACUUAUCAGUGAGUGCAUAUCAUGUGAUAGAAAAUAUCACUCAGAAUGAUAUUUUCUAGUUCUAUCCAUUUGCCUAAGAAUUUCAUGAAGUCAUUGUUUUUAAUAGCUGAGUAGUACUCCAUUGUGUAAAUGUACCACAUUUUCUGUAUCCAUUUCUCUGUAGUCUUAACAAUAUUAAAAGCCCAAGUUCAAAGUCUUUUCUGAGAAUCAUUCAACCACCUAAAUGUAAUCCCCAAAGCAAGACAGGAAACCAGCUGGGCAAACUCCAAACUCUGCCUUUCCAUGUCUGAUGUCAACGUGGUCUUUAGAUCUCCAAACCUUUUUCAUCUUUGUUGACUGAAACAAACUUCUUUCUCCUGCGCUGGUUCCACUUCCUGGUGACAGGUGAGGGGAACAAGCUGAGAAAAGAACUGAAAAGGAAAAUGAAGACUGAGGUGUACACAGGGGCCUUUAUAAGGCUCUGGCACAUUCUGUGGAACCUACUUGCACAUACAAGACUGUGCACAUGCUCAAAGAUGUGUGCAUCUUUUAGACAGACCUGGGGAAUUCCUAAUCCUUUGCUUCUGGUUGAUCUUGAGGUUCUGGGGACCCAAAAGGGAAGGCUAUGGCAAAGCUGUCAAUCACUCGGCUGAGAUUUGAAGGCUGCCUUUGAGAUGCACACGGAGCCAAGACUGACAGCCUUGGUGUUCCAGGCGGUGAAGGACGUUGGUGGAGGGGCAUUGGUUGCUCACCCAGCUCACCAGACAGUGUUCUGUGGUCACAGACAGAGCUCAGAAAAGUCACCAAAAGAGCAAACAGUAGCACCGUCUUCAACAAAUAACACAACAAGGUUUCUUUUCAGAGCUACGGACUGUAUUGUUUCAAAUAGCCAGCUUCAUCAUGAAGAAACAGCAGAUUAUCAUUUUUGUAGUAAGCCCUCUCCCCCGCCAUGAAAACUGUUCUGGGGGAGGGCCAUAAUUGUACCUAUGACUAAGACUUAAGGCAGCUAUGUCAAAUAUGUUCAUAAAACUAAGGAGACCACACAGGACAUCUAAGGGGAGAGCAUGGGAAUGUGUCUCACGAGAUAGAGUGUCACAGUAGAAAGCAGCCCAUAGGAGUCCUUGAGUUGAGAGUGACAAAAUGAAAUCAAAAGUCCACAGGAGAGGCUCAGUAGCUGACCCAGGGCGUGACAGGCAGAUGUCCCCUGAGAAUGUGUCCUCUAAGGGGUGGAGAAAGAAAUAAGAAAUAAAUAUGAACUGAACUCAAAAACCCAAGAGAUGUCACCAAGCCUUCAAAAUAUGCAUAAAGGGAGUCCUGGGAGGAGAGCAGGGAAAGGACCGAAAGAAUAAUCGUAAUACUGCCUGAAAAUGUCCCAAGUUUGAUGAAAGAUAUUUGUUCAUAUUAAAGCAACGCAAGAGACUUUGUAUCACAACUGCAGAAGACCCUCCCCCUCCCCGCACACAAACCACACACACACACGCACACUGCCAAACCAAAGACAAUUUAAGGGCAGCAUUAGGAAGUGGCUGAUCCUGUACCUGCAGAGUCUGGCUAACGGCUGCUGUCUGUCUUAUCAGAUGGGGCAGAGACUGUGAGAUGACAUGUUCAGGUUGUAGAAGGAAAAAAAGCCCCAAGCGAACAUUUCCUGUUGGGAAAAUCUGCACUUACAAAUGGAGGUGAGAGGUCCACAUGAUAACUACGCUGUGACUUGAUGUCCCAGGGCAGGGUGGGUACCUGAGGGGGGCUUUUCUUUCUCUGAGGAGAAGGAGGGUAGUGGGGGGAAGGAUUUGUGAGGGUGGGAUUGAGAGGAGAGGAGGGAGGGGGACUGCUACCAGGAUGCAAAGUG